rnacentral:rRNA from 1 species
AUACGUAGGGGGCGAGCGUUGUCCGGAAUUAUUGGGCGUAAAGGGCGCGUAGGCGGUGACACAAGUCAGGUGAUAAAGGCACAGGCUCAACCGGUGUUAGGCACUUGAAACUGUGUUGCUAGAGUGCAGGAGAGGGGAGUGGAAUUCCAGGUGUAGCGGUGAAAUGCGUAGAUAUCUGGAAGAACACCAGUGGCGAAGGCGGCUCUCUGGACUGUAACUGACGCUGAGGCGCGAAAGCUGGGGGAGCAAACAGGAUUAGAUACCCUGGUAGUCCCAGCCGUAAACGAUGAACACUAGGUGUAGGGGGUAUCGACCCCCCCUGUGCCGGAGCUAACGCAAUAAGUAUCCCGCCUGGGGAGUACGGUCGCAAGGCUGAA